CUGGCGGCGAUAGCGCGGUGGUCCCACCUGACCCCAUGCCGAACUCAGAAGUGAAACGCCGUAGCGCCGAUGGUAGUGUGGGGUCUCCCCAUGUGAGAGUAGGGAACUGCCAGGC
rnacentral:rRNA from 4 species